ensembl:snRNA U6 U6 spliceosomal RNA
GUGCUGCCUUCAGCAGCACGUAUACUAAAAUUGGAAGGAUACAGAGAUUAGCACGGCCCUUUCCGAAAGGAUGACAGGCAAAUUUGUGAAGCGUUCUAUAUUUUU